GAAGCCCUGCUGCGUGCGUGAUUCUCUGGCUAUUAUAACCCUACAAGCAUAUGAAAAGGGAAUCUUUACUCCCGUGGAGGAUUGCAGACCUCCCGGCUUUGCCGGAGGAAGGGAGCGUGAACCCACGGGGAGAUGCCCACCUGCAAUUACGGCAGGUUAUCAUGUGCCCGGAACACGGCUUGGCGGGGAUUCU
rnacentral:other from 2 species